GGUUCACAGAGGGGGUUUCAUGCCAAUUCUUGUUGUGAGCAAAUAAAAGUUGAGUUUUGUGAGUUAAAGGAUCCCCGCUAUCGUUUCACCUUAACCCUGACCUGGGACUCGGUGAACCUGAGUCAUCAUCCUGAGAAACUGGGACGUGACAGCAAGUGAUAUAGAAAAAUAAAUAAGGAAUGUCUCCUGGUAUCAAACAUGGAUCGUGCUCUGUGCACAGGCACCAAGCAGCUCUCUAGAAGCCAUCUUUUGUGCUGACGGUUGGGAUGUAGCAGAGCAUCAAACCUGCAACGAUGCUGGUUGAGAUAAGCAGCAUUUUACAGUGAAAUAAACAGCAUUUUACAGUGCUCCUGGCCAUCUGGAAACCGCAGCUCACUGCCCACUACAUGAAAGAC